GCCGAUGUAGCUCAGCUGGCUAGAGCAGCUGAUUUGUAAUCAGCAGGUCGGGGGUUCGAGUCCCUUCAUCGGCUCAA
rnacentral:tRNA from 1 species